rnacentral:rRNA from 1 species
GGGGAAUAUUGCGCAAUGGGCGAAAGCCUGACGCAGCGACGCCGCGUGGGUGAUGAAGGCCUUCGGGUCGUAAAGCCCUGUCGGGAGGGACGAAACCUCGGUGACCUAAUACGUCACCGACCUGACGGUACCUCUUAAGGAAGCACCGGCUAACUUCGUGCCAGCAGCCGCGGUAAUACGAAGGGUGCAAGCGUUACUCGGAAUUACUGGGCGUAAAGCGUGCGUAGGUGGUUGUUUAAGUCUGAUGUGAAAGCCCUGGGCCCAACCUGGGAAUGGCAGUGGAAACUGGGCAGCUAGAGUGCGGUAGAGGGUAGUGGAAUUCCCGGUGUAGCAGUGAAAUGCGUAGAGAUCGGGAGGAACAUCUGUGGCGAAGGCGACUGCCUGGACCAGCACUGACACUGAGGCACGAAAGCGUGGGGAGCAAACA